AAAGAGAAGGAAUGCAAAGGGAAGAGGUGGACAGGACAGACACUGCAAAAGAAGCAACGUGUAAAAGUGCAGAGAUGCGAAGGGCAAGCACAGCCCGGGGUGGGAGCAGCUGCCGCCAGGCAUCUCCGGGCACCGGGGUGGGCACUGGUGGCACCCAGGGCUUUGGGAGGCAAAGGGGUGGCUCGUAGGGUGCUGGAAAUGCAAGUGUCCCAGUGGAGCAGGGGGCUGUAUAGCUCCUGCUGGGAAAGAAGAGCCUGGGAAACUGAAGAUGUGUGGGGUGGGAAGCUUGUCUCCCCGGUCACUCACUUCUCCCACUUCAAAUGAGAAUGGAGAAAAACUUGCAAGUGGAGGAGAGCAGCUCUUCUUAGCAGUCUGCAACCGUUUUUCAAAAUACAUCUGGUGAACAAGGUAAAAAUAAAAAGCCAGGUCUCGAUAUAUUUUUGCUUCCCACUGUUUCCUCCUAGAACUGGCUGAGGCAGCUUCGGGCUUCUCCAGCUUUUUGGCAGAUGGCUCAGAGGCUGACCCUCUCCCCGCAUAUGAACUGCUGUGGAGCUUCUCCCGAGGAUCCCCGGGGGCCUCGCACCACUCGCAGCCCAAAAUAGCCUCUUUCUAUUUCAGUGUUCUCCUUUUCCCACAUCUGAUCUCACUGGGGAUAAUAGAGUCAGGAAUGGGCAUGGGACACUUUUGUUAGAAUACAAAUAUCAUGGAUACAUGGUCCCAGUUAAAUCUCUCCCUAGCUGUGAUGGUUACUAAAAGUUUGACAGCACGUCCUGGCUGGUUCCUUCAAUGUCAUCCUCUGUCUGUCUGUCUGUCUCCAUCUGCCUCACCAGUACUCUACAAGGACUAGGAGCUCUUGGGAGCAGAAGGUGCCUUUUUUGUUCCAUGUUCAUGCUGUGCCCAGUAUAGGGGGGUCCUCGUGCAUGACUGGCGUUCGAAAUAGUGUGCAAAAUAAUGAAUCAUCAGUUGAAUAAUGCUGAGCCAAGUUCAUGACAGUGAGACAAGACUUCUUCUGUGACAAGUGUCUCCCUCUGGAAUAGCUCCAUCAGACUCAGCUGUGUGCAGAAAAUGGGCUGAAGACUUUAACAAAGUCUAUUUCCUGAAGAUCAACAAACUGCUUCGCAACUUUCAGGAAAAAAGGUUUAAAGGCAAUCUGAAAAGAAUUUUUUGAAGAAAACAUCCUCAGGAAAUCCCAACAGACCAACAAGCUCAGUAUUUUUUAAUGUUAGCCAUCAGGAAAAAUUGCUUUUGCUUUGGAAACUGAAGAGACUAAACUGGUAAAGAACGUUUCACAGCUUCAUGCAGUAGUUUUCAGGUACAUAAAUAAGAACUAAGGAGAAAAAUAAAGAAUUGAGGCUGUUGUUGACUUCAGACAAAGCAGGGGCAACCCUGGAGGCAUUUUGUGCAAUCUAGUGUACAUGGAAGCCUCAGGUUUCUGUUGAGAAAUGGUGCUUUGAGACGUUGGCAAAGACAAGGGGGUCAUGUGAAGAAAGAGAGAAGUGCUGCAAGUGAUGGAAGAGAUGUUCAGCCCAUGCAAGGUGGUCUCUCCAUGUCUCUCCACGUCUCUCCAAGGUCUCUCCAGGUGGUAUGGCUGGUGUCAGAGCCUGGCAGCUUCAGGAACAUGAAUCUUGUGUUGCAUGUGGGCAGCAACAUACAAGUACGUUAUUACUCCAGCACUGCUGCUGAGGAGGUAGAGCCCCAAGAAGUUGAUGAGACAUUUGUAACCAUAGGUUGGUCGCUUUUGUCCUGGGAACCAAAUUCUUAGCUUGUGUGAAAUGCAAUUGCUAUUUCUGCUGUGUAUACAUAUGAGAUUGAUAUCUUCUGGGUAGAAGAGCCUCAUAUUUAAGCUUCAUCUCUGUUUACUGUGUGUUGCAAGUGAGUAAUGGUCAACUGCCCUCAAACCGCUUUGGAAAUAUCUAAUCUAAGCUGUGAUCUGUUCUGCUAUUCCUCACAUUUCAGUUAGCCAUCACAUAGCAGCUGGGAAGGAGGACAGGAUGAGAAAGGGAGCGACACAGGCAGCUCACACCCAAAAUAUGGAUGUGUCUUUCCUUAAUGCUACUGUUAAUAGUCUAAAUUAAACUGCUUGUAUUUGGCGAGAGUGUUUGAAUCAGUGAGCCAUCUGAGAAAACACAACAGCAUUUGCUGGCAUACACUGGCUCUGAGCGAUGCUCUCCAACUGUCUUUUUGAUUACCAGAGUGUGGAAGCAAGCAAUUAACAUUCUUUGGAAUUUCUCUAUCAUCCUGCAGAGUGGUUGUGUCGGUGUUUUGAGGAUACAGUGGGAGUCCAUGGGAGCUGACUUCAGAGCUGAAUGAGCUUAAAGGAGGUCUUGGCCAUAACUCUGGAGCAGAUGCAGUAGGGACCCACUGGCUGAUCCGAGACGUUCUUCAGUGCAGCGUGAAUACUUUUGUGCUGUGAACUCAGCAUGGGUCUGAUGAGUGCUGUAGCCAAAACCAGCUAAUCAGAGGAGCACCAAUAGAGCCAAUUACCACUCAGGCUGCGCUUUCAGCCACUCAUGCAUGUGCCACAGUUAUUCAUUCACUUCCUCCGCUUAGAUAGUCUUGUAGACUUUGAGACAGGCUUGUGGUUUUCCCAGGCAGGAGCUCUUCCUUUUCUUCCACACAUCUUUACAGAUAUUUAAACCAAAGUUUUCUCCCUCCGGGCUGUGUCAUUUUCUUUGCUGUUUCUGUGGCGAUGCGGGUGAUUUAAGCCUUUUAAUAAAACAUAGCUC